rnacentral:lncRNA from 13 species
GUUUAUUUUCAUAUAUCUGAUGGUUGUUUAUAGUGUUCGGUGAUAUUUAUAGAUCUCACCUUUUUUCAUGGUAGAGUAACAAUCACUGUUCCUUUGUAGAGGUUCCAUCAGCCUCGGUUCCUGAGUAACCAUAACACAGGACUAACUUGAGAUGGACACAUAGCCUGAGUAAGAAAUCAGACUUGAAGGUUUCUGAAGUACUACAGAAUAACCCAAGGAUAUGGAGUGAUAUCAGUAAAACAUCCAUGAACAAAAUGAAUGUUAGAAUCAGAGGAAUUCCAUUUGAGAAACUACAUGGUCUAGAACAUUUUAGCCAUCGAUACUUCAUAUUCCAUGUGACACCAACUUAA